rnacentral:rRNA from 1 species
GAUGAACGCUGGCGGCGUGCCUAAUACAUGCAAGUCGAGCGAACAGACGAGGAGCUUGCUCCUCUGACGUUAGCGGCGGACGUGUGAGUAACACGUGGAUAACCUACCUAUAAGACUGGGAUAACUUCGGGAAACCGGAGCUAAUACCGGAUAAUAUAUUGAACCGCAUGGUUCAAUAGUGAAAGACGGUUUUGCUGUCACUUAUAGAUGUAUCCGCGCCGCAUUAGCUAGUUGGUAAGGUAACGGCUUACCAAGGCAACGAUGCGUAGCCGACCUGAGAGGGUGAUCGGCCACACUGGAACUGAGACACGGUCCAGACUCCUACGGGAGGCAGCAGUAGGGAAUCUUCCGCAAUGGGCGAAAGCCUGACGGAGCAACGCCGCGUGAGUGAUGAAGGUCUUCGGAUCGUAAAACUCUGUUAUUAGGGAAGAACAAAUGUGUAAGUAACUAUGCACGUCUUGACGGUACCUAAUCAGAAAGCCACGGCUAACUACGUG